rnacentral:lncRNA from 1 species
AUACUCUUUGGCAUUGAAUAUUUCCGCCUUGGCAAGACGUAAAUUUUUCAAAGUGACAUUUCAAAGUGAUCUCAGAGGAGUGAAGAUUGUCAAGAGUUCAGUGCAUAGAAAGAUGUCGGACGGAUCUCCAGGAGAGAAUCUCGGAGAGAAUCUCGGAGACGAUCGCGAAGAGGAGCUCGGUGAGGAAAAUCACGAGCAGGAAGUGGGGUUAGGUUCCCAGGGAUCAACGGCAGAGUCUCUGCGCGAGAUCGAGGAUUCGGGAGACGAGGACGAGGAACAGCCCCCCCCCAAAGAGGCACUGUCCGGCAGUAAACCCACAGAUUGAGAAACAAACAGAAGAGACAGGCGAAGGCCACGCCAGCCCAAAUCGAUUAUAUGGUUGAUUAUUUUAUCUAGCAUCCGCACAUCGCAACAGGGAAAUUUCAAUCUCUCCAUGGAAAAUCGGAUUUGGCCGCGUCGUGGGAGCAACUCGUGGAGGAACUGAACAAGAUGGGAAAAGAUGAGAGAGGGAAAGACGUAAAAUCAUGGAAAUCAACGUGGCGAGACAACAAGACCACUGUGUCGCAAAAAGUAGCGAAAAUUCGAGCAAAUCGUUCGAGGACAGGGAAUGUUGGUGGCCCUUGAGUGAAACCGACCGAAUGAGAGGAAAAAAUUAUAGGCAUUAUGGGCUUCGAUUACGUGGAAGGAGUGGAAUGCCCUGAUGCCUUUCCCGAAGAACAGUUAAACGCCAUAGAGCUACUGGCAGAAGGAGACGAGAGCAUACUCGAUAAGGAUGGCAGCAUCUUAACUUUGCAAGACUACGUCGAGGCCGGUGCUCUCGAUUACACUAAUAAAUAUAGAAGUUCUCGAUAACUUUGAUGGCGGGGAGGCAACUUUGGAGGAAGGCUCUUCAAUACCUGAAGAAAAUACAGACGCUGCAUUGCCACCACCACCGCCACCUCCUCCAGCAAUAACACCAUCUCCAGCAGAUGCAUUGGCAGAACCUGGCCCGAGUGGCCUUAAUCAACAAGGAAGAGCCUCGAAAGUCACAAGACCUAGAUGCCCUACUUGUAAAAAACUGGCCGGAGAAAUUCAAACACUGAAAAUCCUUAUCGAAGCUAGCCAAAAGUGGAUUACGGAGAGGUUUGAUUACAUGUCUACCAAGAUGCAAGCCAUGUUUAUAUUGUUAUCUUUGAAUAAUCAUGCCACAUAUGAAGAUAUUGAAGACAAAUUUCCUAUGACAAGUUUGGAAGACAUGGAAGAUUUUGUAAAUAAACUGAAGAAUCCAAAAUUGAAACAAAAAAUAGUAUGGAUGAAUUGAAGUUCGUGACCGUGUAGAUACCGUGUUGGCCCGAAUAGAAGUCGAGGUUUUUAGUAACCGACUUUACCCUCAAAAACCGAACUCGACUUAUAUUCAGGACUUUGUAGGGGAUCUGCAUUAUCAACUGGGAACUUCUUUAUAGACCGAUAAUUGUAAUAUUCUCGCAAUGCAAUAUUCGCGCACUACGCGUGCGUGCCUAAUCUCGAAGAUCGAAAAUUUGAACUUCAAUUUUUUCAAAGCAUCAGUAUAAAGUCGGAAAUACAAAUUGUUUAUUAGAUGUUUCGUGCAUGCAAUAAUUGAGAAAAUGAAUAUUCAGAGUGCAGAUAGAGUGGAGUGUAGGGAUUCAAAGACAAAACAAGUGAACAAAAACGUUCGUCGUAGUUAUGAUGCGAACUUUAAACUCAUGGUUGUGCGAGAAGCCGAAAAAUAUUGAAAAUUGAAAUGUCAAAAUGAGUGUUAUUUGAAGAUAAAUUAGUUUACUAUAGAAAAAUGAAAACGAUAUCAAAAUAUGAAUUAUUGUUAACUAUAUCAUUCAUCACGCAAUAUUAUCAUUUGGUUAACUUAUUCUCA